rnacentral:rRNA from 1 species
AUUGAACGCUGGCGGCAGGCCUAACACAUGCAAGUCGAGCGGUAGCACAGAGAGCUUGCUCUCGGGUGACGAGCGGCGGACGGGUGAGUAAUGUCUGGGAAACUGCCUGAUGGAGGGGGAUAACUACUGGAAACGGUAGCUAAUACCGCAUAAUGUUGCAAGACCAAAGUGGGGGACCUUCGGGCCUCAUGCCAUCAGAUGUGCCCAGAUGGGAUUAGCUAGUAGGUGGGGUAACGGCUCACCUAGGCGACGAUCCCUAGCUGGUCUGAGAGGAUGACCAGCCACACUGGAACUGAGACACGGUCCAGACUCCUACGGGAGGCAGCAGUGGGGAAUAUUGCACAAUGGGCGCAAGCCUGAUGCAGCCAUGCCGCGUGUGUGAAGAAGGCCUUCGGGUUGUAAAGCACUUUCAGCGGGGAGGAAGGCGUUAAGGUUAAUAACCUCAUCGAUUGACGUUACCCGCAGAAGAAGCACCGGCUAACUCCGUGCCAGCAGCCGCGGUAAUACGGAGGGUGCAAGCGUUAAUCGGAAUUACUGGGCGUAAAGCGCACGCAGGCGGUCUGUCAAGUCGGAUGUGAAAUCCCCGGGCUCAACCUGGGAACUGCAUUCGAAACUGGCAGGCUAGAGUCUUGUAGAGGGGGGUAGAAUUCCAGGUGUAGCGGUGAAAUGCGUAGAGAUCUGGAGGAAUACCGGUGGCGAAGGCGGCCCCCUGGACAAAGACUGACGCUCAGGUGCGAAAGCGUGGGGAGCAAACAGGAUUAGAUACCCUGGUAGUCCACGCCGUAAACGAUGUCGAUUUGGAGGUUGUGCCCUUGAGGCGUGGCUUCCGGAGCUAACGCGUUAAAUCGACCGCCUGGGGAGUACGGCCGCAAGGUUAAAACUCAAAUGAAUUGACGGGGGCCCGCACAAGCGGUGGAGCAUGUGGUUUAAUUCGAUGCAACGCGAAGAACCUUACCUGGUCUUGACAUCCACAGAACUUUCCAGAGAUGGAUUGGUGCCUUCGGGAACUGUGAGACAGGUGCUGCAUGGCUGUCGUCAGCUCGUGUUGUGAAAUGUUGGGUUAAGUCCCGCAACGAGCGCAACCCUUAUCCUUUGUUGCCAGCGGUUAGGCCGGGAACUCAAAGGAGACUGCCAGUGAUAAACUGGAGGAAGGUGGGGAUGACGUCAAGUCAUCAUGGCCCUUACGACCAGGGCUACACACGUGCUACAAUGGCAUAUACAAAGAGAAGCGACCUCGCGAGAGCAAGCGGACCUCAUAAAGUAUGUCGUAGUCCGGAUUGGAGUCUGCAACUCGACUCCAUGAAGUCGGAAUCGCUAGUAAUCGUAGAUCAGAAUGCUACGGUGAAUACGUUCCCGGGCCU